GAUGAACGCUGGCGGCGUGCCUAAUACAUGCAAGUCGAGCGAACGGACGAGAGGCUUGCUUUUCUGAUGUUAGCGGCGGACGGGUGAGUAACACGUGGAUAACCUACCUAUAAGACUGGGAUAACUUCGGGAAACCGGAGCUAAUACCGGAUAAUAUUUUGAACCGCAUGGUUCAAAAGUGAAAGACGGUCUUGCUGUCACUUAUAGAUGGAUCCGCGCUGCAUUAGCUAGUUGGUAAGGUAACGGCUUACCAAGGCAACGAUGCAUAGCCGACCUGAGAGGGUGAUCGGCCACACUGGAACUGAGACACGGUCCAGACUCCUACGGGAGGCAGCAGUAGGGAAUCUUCCGCAAUGGGCGAAAGCCUGACGGAGCAACGCCGCGUGAGUGAUGAAGGUCUUCGGAUCGUAAAACUCCGUUAUUAGGGAAGAACAUAUGUGUAAGUAACUGUGCACAUCUUGACGGUACCUAAUCAGAAAGCCACGGCUAACUACGUG
rnacentral:rRNA from 1 species